rnacentral:rRNA from 1 species
CCUACGGGAGGCAGCAGUGGGGAAUAUUGGACAAUGGGGGAAACCCUGAUCCAGCAAUGCCGCGUGUGUGAAGAAGGCCUUAGGGUUGUAAAGCACUUUCAGUCGUGACGAUGAUGACGGUAACGACAGAAGAAGCCCCGGCUAACUCCGUGCCAGCAGCCGCGGUAAUACGGAGGGGGCAAGCGUUGUUCGGAAUUACUGGGCGUAAAGGGCGCGUAGGCGGCCAAGUCAGUCAGGCGUGAAAGCCCGGGGCUCAACCCCGGAAUUGCGCUUGAUACUGCUAGGCUAGAGAUCGGAAGAGGGUAGUGGAAUUCCCAGUGUAGAGGUGAAAUUCGUAGAUAUUGGGAAGAACACCAGUGGCGAAGGCGGCUACCUGGUCCGGAUCUGACGCUGAGGUGCGAAAGCGUGGGGAGCAAACAGGAUUAGAUACCCCAGUAGUC